rnacentral:rRNA from 1 species
GACGAACGCUGGCGGCGUGCUUAACACAUGCAAGUCGAACGGAAAGGCCCUGCUUUUGUGGGGUGCUCGAGUGGCGAACGGGUGAGUAACACGUGAGUAACCUGCCCUUGACUUUGGGAUAACUUCAGGAAACUGGGGCUAAUACCGGAUAGGAGCUCCUGCUGCAUGGUGGGGGUUGGAAAGUUUCGGCGGUUGGGGAUGGACUCGCGGCUUAUCAGCUUGUUGGUGGGGUAGUGGCUUACCACGGCUUCGACGGGUAGCCGGCCUGAGAGGGUGACCGGCCACAUUGGGACUGAGAUACGGCCCAGACUCCUACGGGAGGCAGCGGUGGAGAAUAUUGCACAAUGGGCGGAAGCCAGAUGCAGCAACGCCGCGUGCGGGAUGACGGCCUUCGGGUUGUAAACCGCUUUCGCCUGUGACGAAGCGUGAGUGACGGUAAUGGGUAAAGAAGCACCGGCUAACUACGUG